AUCUUUUUAGUAUAAAAAAUAUAUUUGACUUCCAAUCAAAAGAUCUUUUAACUAAGAAAAGAUA
rnacentral:tRNA from 1 species